GAUAUCGACCUUCAAAGUUUGGGUUUUUUCAUUUUUCGGGUAUACCCCCCCGUAUCGAAUUUUUUCACCAAAAAUUGAUUUUUUUCGAAAUCAAACUAAGUAUACCAGCGUCUUAUUUGGGUCACCUAGAUUACGAAAACACCGGGUUAUAACAGGAUCCGAGCAGAACUAAGGGAAUGAGAGCACUUUGAAAAUCCUGAAAAAGUCGUUUUCGACGUCCGUUUUUGAGGCCAAAAAUGGGCAUCAAAAAUGCCAUAUCUCGGCUAUCGUAUGAGCUACGACCUUGCGGAUGGUCUUGUUGGAUUUAGAAUGACGAAACUAAGACAAAACCGUUGGAAUUUUCCCGAUAGCUCCCAUAGAAGCCGAGAUGUCGACCUUCAAAGUUUGGGUUUUUUCAUUUUUCGGGUAUACCCCCCCGUAUCGAAUUUUUCACCAAAAAUUCAUUUUUUUCGAAAUCAUACUAAGUAUACCAGCGUCUUAUUUGGGUCACCUAGAUUACGAAAACACCAGGUUAUAACAGGAUCCGAGCAGAACUAAGGGAAUGAGAGCACUUUGAAAAUCCUGAAAAAGUCGUUUUCGACGUCCGUUUUUCAGGCCAAAAAUGGGCAUCAAAAAUGCCAUAUCUCGGCUAUCGUAUGAGCUACGACCUUGCGGAUGGUCUUGUUGGAUUUAGAAUGACGAAACUAAGACAAAACCGUUGGAAUUUUCCCGAUAGCUCCCAAAGAAGCCGAGAUAUCGACCUUCAAAGUUUGGGUUUUUUCAUUUUUCGGGUAUACCCCCCCGUAUCGAAUUUUUUCACCAAAAAUUGAUUUUUUUCGAAAUCAAACUAAGUAUACCAGCGUCUUAUUUGGGUCACCUAGAUUACGAAAACACCGGGUUAUAACAGGAUCCGAGCAGAACUAAGGGAAUGAGAGCACUUUGAAAAUCCUGAAAAAGUCGUUUUCGACGUCCGUUUUUGAGGCCAAAAAUGGGCAUCAAAAAUGCCAUAUCUCGGCUAUCGUAAAAGCUACGACCUUGCGGAUGGUCUCGUUGGAUUUAGAAUGACGAAACUAAGACAAACCCGUUGGAAUUUUCCCGAUAGCUCCCAAAGAAGCCGAGAUAUCGACCUUCAAAGUUUGGGUUUUUUCAUUUUUCGGGUAUACCCCCCCGUAUCGAAUUUUUUCACCAAAAAUUGAUUUUUUUCGAAAUCAAACUAAGUAUACCAGCGUCUUAUUUGGGUCACCUAGAUUACGAAAACACCGGGUUAUAACAGGAUCCGAGCAGAACUAAGGGAAUGAGAGCACUUUGAAAAUCCUGAAAAAGUCGUUUUCGACGUCCGUUUUUCAGGCCAAAAAUGGGCAUCAAAAAUGCCAUAUCUCGGCUAUCGUAUGAGCUACGACCUUGCGGAUGGUCUCGUUCCAUUCAGUAUGGCGAAACUAAGACAAAACCGUUGGAAUUUUCCCGAUAGCUCCCAUAGAAGCCGAGAUAUCGACCUUCAAAGUUUGGGUUUUUUCAUUUUUCGGGUAUACCCCCCCGUAUCGAAUUUUUUCACCAAAAAUUGAUUUUUUUCGAAAUCAAACUAAGUAUACCAGCGUCUUAUUUGGGUCACCUAGAUUACGAAAACACCGGGUUAUAACAGGAUCUGAGCAGAACUAAGGGAAUGAGAGCACUUUAAAAAUCCUGAAAAAGUCGUUUUCGACGUCCGUUUUUGAGGCCAAAAAUGGGCAUCAAAAAUGCCAUAUCUCGGCUAUCGUAUGAGCUACGACCUUGCAGAUGGUCUCGUUGGAUUCAGAAUGACGAAACUAAGACAAAACCGUUGGAAUUUUCCCGAUAGCUCCCAUAGAAGCCGAGAUAUCGACCUUCAAAGUUUGGGUUUUUUCAUUUUUCGGGUAUACCCCCCCGUAUCGAAUUUUUUCACCAAAAAUUGAUUUUUUUCGAAAUCAAACUAAGUAUACCAGCGUCUUAUUUGGGUCACCUAGAUUAGGAAAACACCGGGUUAUAACAGGAUCCGAGCAGAACUAAGGGAAUGAGAGCACUUUGAAAAUCCUGAAAAAGUCGUUUUCGACGUCCGUUUUUGAGGCCAAAAAUGGGCAUCAAAAAUGCCAUAUCUCGGCUAUCGUAUGAGCUACGACCUUGCGGAUGGUCUCGUUCGAUUCAGAAUGACGAAACUAAGACAAAACCGUUGGAAUUUUCCCGAUAGCUCCCAAAGAAGCCGAGAUAUCGACCUUCAAAGUUUGGGUUUUUUCAUUUUUCGGGUAUACCCCCCCGUAUCGAAUUUUUUCACCAAAAAUUGAUUUUUUUCGAAAUCAAACUAAGUAUACCAGCGUCUUAUUUGGGUCACCUAGAUUACGAAAACACCGGGUUAUAACAGGAUCCGAGCAGAACUAAGGGAAUGAGAGCACUUUGAAAAUCCUGAAAAAGUCGUUUUCGACGUCCGUUUUUGAGGCCAAAAAUGGGCAUCAAAAAUGCCAUAUCUCGGCUAUCGUAUGAGCUACGACCUUGCGGAUGGUCUCGUUCCAUUCAGUAUGGCGAAACUAAGACAAAACCGUUGGAAUUUUCCCGAUAGCUCCCAUAGAAGCCGAGAUAUCGACCUUCAAAGUUUGGGUUUUUUCAUUUUUCGGGUAUACCCCCCCGUAUCGAAUUUUUUCACCAAAAAUUGAUUUUUUUCGAAAUCAAACUAAGUAUACCAGCGUCUUAUUUGGGUCACCUAGAUUACGAAAACACCGGGUUAUAACAGGAUCCGAGCAGAACUAAGAGAAUGAGAGCACUUUGAAAAUCCUGAAAAAGUCGUUUUCGACGUCCGUUUUUGAGGCCAAAAAUGGGCAUCAAAAAUGCCAUAUCUCGGCUACUAGAAGAGUUACGACCUUGCGGGUGGUCUCGUUGGAUUUAGAACGACGAAACUAAGACAAAACCGUUGGAAUUUUCCCGAUAGCUCCUAUAGAAGCCGACAUAUCGACCUUCAAAAUUUGGAAUUUUUCAUUUUUCGGGUAUACCCCCCCGUAUCGAAUUUUUUCACCAAAAAUUGAUUUUUUUCCAAAUCAAACUAAGUAUACCAGCGUCUUAUUUGGGUCACCUAGAUUACGAAAACACCGGGUUAUAACAGGAUCCGAGCAGAACUAAGGGAAUGAGAGCACUUUGAAAAUCCUGAAAAAGUCGUUUUCGACGUCCGUUUUUGAGGCCAAAAAUGGGCAUCAAAAAUGCCAUAUCUCGGCUAUCGUAUGAGCUACGACCUUGCAGAUGGUCUCGUUGGAUUCAGAAUGACGAAACUAAGACAAAACCGUUGGAAUUUUCCCGAUAGCUCCCAUAGAAGCCGAGAUAUCGACCUUCAAAGUUUGGGUUUUUUCAUUUUUCGGGUAUACCCCCCCGUAUCGAAUUUUUUCACCAAAAAUUAAUUUUUUUCGAAAUCAAACUAAGUAUACCAGCGUCUUAUUUGGGUCACCUAGAUUACGAAAACACCGGGUUAUAACAGGAUCCGAGCAGAACUAAGGGAAUGAGAGCACUUUAAAAAUCCUGAAAAAGUCGUUUUCGACGUCCGUUUUUGAGGCCAAAAAUGGGCAUCAAAAAUGCCAUAUCUCGGCUAUCGUAUGAGCUACGACCUUGCAGAUGGUCUCGUUGGAUUCAGAAUGACGAAACUAAGACAAAACCGUUGGAAUUUUCCCGAUAGCUCCCAUAGAAGCCGAGAUAUCGACCUUCAAAGUUUGGGUUUUUUCAUUUUUCGGGUAUACCCCCCCGUAUCGAAUUUUUUCACCAAAAAUUAAUUUUUUUCGAAAUCAAACUAAGUAUACCAGCGUCUUAUUUGGGUCACCUAGAUUACGAAAACACCGGGUUAUAACAGGAUCCGAGCAGAACUAAGGGAAUGAGAGCACUUUGAAAAUCCUGAAAAAGUCGUUUUCGACGUCCGUUUUUGAGGCCAAAAAUGGGCAUCAAAAAUGCCAUAUCUCGGCUAUCGUAUGAGCUACGACCUUGCGGAUGGUCUCGUUCGAUUCAGAAUGACGAAACUAAGACAAAACCGUUGGAAUUUUCCCGAUAGCUCCCAAAGAAGCCGAGAUAUCGACCUUCAAAGUUUGGGUUUUUUCAUUUUUCGGGUAUACCCCCCCGUAUCGAAUUUUUUCACCAAAAAUUGAUUUUUUUCGAAAUCAAACUAAGUAUACCAGCGUCUUAUUUGGGUCACCUAGAUUACGAAAACACCGGGUUAUAACAGGAUCCGAGCAGAACUAAGGGAAUGAGAGCACUUUGAAAAUCCUGAAAAAGUCGUUUUCGACGUCUGUUUUUCAGGCCAAAAAUGGGCAUCAAAAAUGCCAUAUCUCGGCUAUCGUAUGAGCUACGACCUUGCGGAUGGUCUUGUUGGAUUUAGAAUGACGAAACUAAGACAAAACCGUUGGAAUUUUCCCGAUAGCUCCCAUAGAAGCCGAGAUGUCGACCUUCAAAGUUUGGGUUUUUUCAUUUUUCGGGUAUACCCCCCCGUAUCGAAUUUUUCACCAAAAAUUCAUUUUUUUCGAAAUCAUACUAAGUAUACCAGCGUCUUAUUUGGGUCACCUAGAUUACGAAAACACCAGGUUAUAACAGGAUCCGAGCAGAACUAAGGGAAUGAGAGCACUUUGAAAAUCCUGAAAAAGUCGUUUUCGACGUCCGUUUUUCAGGCCAAAAAUGGGCAUCAAAAAUGCCAUAUCUCGGCUAUCGUAAAAGCUACGACCUUGCGGAUGGUCUCGUUGGAUUUAGAAUGACGAAACUAAGACAAAACCGUUGGAAUUUUCCCGAUAGCUCCCAAAGAAGCCGAGAUAUCGACCUUCAAAGUUUGGGUUUUUUCAUUUUUCGGGUAUACCCCCCCGUAUCGAAUUUUUUCACCAAAAAUUGAUUUUUUUCGAAAUCAAACUAAGUAUACCAGCGUCUUAUUUGGGUCACCUAGAUUACGAAAACACCGGGUUAUAACAGGAUCCGAGCAGAACUAAGGGAAUGAGAGCACUUUGAAAAUCCUGAAAAAGUCGUUUUCGACGUCCGUUUUUCAGGCCAAAAAUGGGCAUCAAAAAUGCCAUAUCUCGGCUAUCGUAUGAGCUACGACCUUGCGGAUGGUCUUGUUGGAUUUAGAAUGACGAAACUAAGACAAAACCGUUGGAAUUUUCCCGAUAGCUCCCAAAGAAGCCGAGAUAUCGACCUUCAAAGUUUGGGUUUUUUCAUUUUUCGGGUAUACCCCCCCGUAUCGAAUUUUUUCACCAAAAAUUGAUUUUUUUCGAAAUCAAACUAAGUAUACCAGCGUCUUAUUUGGGUCACCUAGAUUACGAAAACACCGGGUUAUAACAGGAUCCGAGCAGAACUAAGGGAAUGAGAGCACUUUGAAAAUCCUGAAAAAGUCGUUUUCGACGUCCGUUUUUCAGGCCAAAAAUGGGCAUCAAAAAUGCCAUAUCUCGGCUAUCGUAUGAGCUACGACCUUGCGGAUGGUCUUGUUGGAUUUAGAAUGACGAAACUAAGACAAAACCGUUGGAAUUUUCCCGAUAGCUCCCAAAGAAGCCGAGAUAUCGACCUUCAAAGUUUGGGUUUUUUCAUUUUUCGGGUAUACCCCCCCGUAUCGAAUUUUUCACCAAAAAUUCAUUUUUUUCGAAAUCAUACUAAGUAUACCAGCGUCUUAUUUGGGUCACCUAGAUUAGGAAAACACCGGGUUAUAACAGGAUCCGAGCAGAACUAAGGGAAUGAGAGCACUUUAAAAAUCCUGAAAAAGUCGUUUUCGACGUCCGUU